rnacentral:rRNA from 1 species
AUGAGCCCCGGCAAGGGCCAUCACAGCUGCGCUGACAAGCGAGUCUUGUACAUGAAGAAGUCCCUGUUUACCGAUGGCGAAAACUCAUCCUUGAUCCAGCUUACUCCUGCAAAUGUUAAUUUCACUUUUGAUGAACUGAUGAUAAAGCAACAAUGGAAGAAGCACGACCUCUCUCGCCCGGAAGCCCCUCCUCUACCGCACGACCUCCCCCUCCUCCUCCCGCGCCCUUCGCCGCCCCGUCGUUUCUCUCGCAGCCGGCGCGCAGCCGUUAGCCGCAGGAGCUGCUCCGCCGCGCCCUUCGCCGCCUCUCCCGCAGCCGCGCCCUUCGCUGCAGGUCGCCACGGGAGCCGCCCCGCCGCGCCCUUCGCCGCCUCCCGUAGCCGAGGACGAGGCGAGGAUCUCGGAGAGCAACGUGAUGGUGGGGAUCCAUUGCUAGGACGCAAGAGGGUGCUUGUCAGGCUGCUCGCCGAGGUCGAGGGGCUACACCUAAUCAUCACGCACGCCAAUGUCAUCCCGUUCCUGGCUUCCACUGUUAUCAUAACCUUCAUGGCAAAGACUGUAUUCAGUGAUAUGGUUACAGAAGCAAAGUGGAUGAGGGCUUCAAUGUCUUGGCCUGCCGUGCGUGGUCCUAGCCAGAUGGUCACCACCGCAGUCGGUCGGCAGAUGGUGAGGAACGUCCAUCCCAUGGAUGCAAGGGAUGGUAUUUCAUCAAAGAUGAUUUUUGGCUUGAAGGCGGAGGCUAGCAAUAAUAGGACUUUGUUCAGUGUGUCUUAUGUACUUGAUAGUGUUGACAAGAGCAAGCUUGAGGCAACCAUCACGGGCGGUUUCUUUCUCAAAUCUGUUUCACCGCAGCUACUAAAUUUUAAGAUUCUUUCUGCACUGAAGUACAUGUUGAAUUUUUUUACAAACUUGGUGAUCUCUAUAUCUCUCUUGCUUGGACUUGUGUAUAUUACUAAUGUAUCUGCUAUUUCAGAGAGGCCACAUAUAGAAGAAAUUCGCAAGAUCCGUUUUCUCCUAUUGAGUCUUGCAGAAAUGAGCCUAAAGUUUCCUGACAUGAUAAGAGUUCGUGUGUCCUUUUCCAAGAAAAUGCAAGAUGUUUCAUGUAUUGACAAUAUACUUUACAUGGUUAUCUGUGUUCUUUCACAUAAUUCACAUCUAUCAUCAUUCUUGGAGCAAGCUGGAAGAAACUUCACCCAUGUUUACUUGAACAAAAUCUGGAUGCAUCAUAUUGAAAGUGGAAUAGGGGCAACAACAUCGAUCCUUCGUAAUGACCAUCUGCUGGAAGGCGAUGCAGUUGGCGAUAAUUUCCUUAGCUAUUUCGCUGGCGCUGCACGGGCAUUCAUGAAUUCCGAACUUUCAGAGCACCCCGUGCACUAUGUGAGAUUUAGAAGGUGGUACUGCCGGUGGAUGCAUCCAUGUGCUAAUCUUCGGGCACCAAGCGGACGGAGCCGAACGAGUUGGUCCCACCAGCUAGCUGACAGUACACACAUGGGCGAGCAUGGGCACCAUGGAGCUAGGGAUGAUACCAACCCCUUCGAGCUCCCGCAACCCUUCGCCAACACUUAUUCAGUUUCUCACCACAAGUAG